UUAAAUUGAAGAGUUUGAUCAUGGCUCAGAUUGAACGCUGGCGGCAGGCCUAACACAUGCAAGU
rnacentral:rRNA from 67 species